ensembl:lncRNA novel transcript
ACCUCCUCCAUGGAACUUCUGUUGUCAUCCAGUGGCUGAAAUCAACUGGAAGCCUACAGGGAAAGACCUGCCUCCUGGGACACAGAGCAGCAAGAAGGAACACAUUUGCUGAAAACUUUCCAAAUUUUUUCGUUACUGCUGCACCAUCACUAGCUGUUGAUAUCGAUGGAAUUCCUGACCAGUAACAUUUCCAUGAAGAUCAUUACAAUUUAUUUCUUGAAAUUCUGGGAAGGCAUGGAAACAUCACAUUGCAGCAGAUGCUGGGGAUGCAGCAAUGAACAAGACAGGCCAGAUCCCUACUCUCAGAUAAACACAAUGAUCCAGGUCAGUAGGCAUUUGGUAGGAAUCUGCAUCAAACUGUUGGGCAAUGGUAGACAGCAACAUUGACGUCUGUAAAUUUACACUUGGAUUCUUAGUUUCUGGUUGGCUGCAUCCUUCUUCUGAAGGCCACUGCUCUUUUCAGAAGACCUCCCUAGAUGGCUAAGCUCUCUGGGUUGCAACAGUUGCUCUUUUUCCUUGAGCCUUAGGUUAGGGAGUUGGGAGGAAGUAAUGGCUUCCCCCACUGCUAGCUCCAGGGUGCUACACUUUCUCUUUUCUAGUUUCCCUAAUCUGGCUUACACCAUUAUAAAUAGACCCUUUAUUAAAAUAUCCUCAAUUUAUCCAUA